AUACGUAGGGAGCGAGCGUUGUCCGGAUUUACUGGGUGUAAAGGGUGCGUAGGCGGCUCUGCAAGUCAGGUGUGAAAACUAUCAGCUUAACUGAUAGACUGCAUUUGAAACUGUGGAGCUUGAGUGAAGCAGAGGCAGGCGGAAUUCCCGGUGUAGCGGUGAAAUGCGUAGAGAUCGGGAGGAACACCAGUGGCGAAGGCGGCCUGCUGGGCCUUAACUGACGCUGAGGCACGAAAGCAUGGGUAGCAAACAGGAUUAGAUACCCUGGUAGUCCAUGCCGUAAACGAUGAUUACUAGGUGUGGGUGGUCUGACCCCAUCCGUGCCGGAGUUAACACAAUAAGUAAUCCACCUGGGGAGUACGGCCGCAAGGUUGAA
rnacentral:rRNA from 1 species